rnacentral:misc_RNA from 1 species
UCAAGCACUUUUGAGUGCUCCAAACCCAGACGAUCCACUCUCUGAGAACAUUGCAAAGCACUGGAAGUCAAACGAGGCUGAAGCUGUUGAAACCGCUAAAGAAUGGACACGUCUUUAUGCAAGUGGUGCCUGAAGACCAUAAAUUAGUGAAAAAAAAAAACCCGUGGAAUGUUAUCGAUCCACUGUUAAAUCCGAAUGGGACUUGGGAGGACUGAAGCUGAACGCUUUGAAUUACCCAUCUAAAAUUGUUUCCCUGUCCUUGAAAUUGUACAAUUGAACGAUGCACCUUUUUUUCAAGUUGAAUUGGUCUUUACUUCUAGACCAGAAAUGGUUCUAAAGUAUUAUCUCACAGAUCACUGAAUUGGAGGACAACGUUUGUUGCGUGAGCAGGUUGCUUUCUCCACUUCUCUUUUUGAACCAAGGGUCUAUCGGAAAUCACCUCUCUACCUACCCCAUAAAGGUAGGUAGGGGUAAGGCUUUGUGUACAUGUUAUCCUCUCAAACUUAACUUGUGGGGUUACAUGUGCUCCCGUUGUCAUAUAAAGUUCAUGUACUUCCUUG